rnacentral:ncRNA from 1 species
UCACAUGAACCUGGAAUUCCCAGUAAGUGUGAGUCAUUAACUUGCAUUGAUUACGUCCCUUCCCUUUGUACACACCGCCCGUCGCGGAUUUAAGAAUCCUGAAUAUUUGCUUAAAUUUAUAAAUCAACAGAAGUCAACAGUUUCAGAAAUUAACAAUU